CUGAAAGAAGAUUUAUACAUUUAUGUUGUGAAUGUAGGAAGUACACUAUAAGACGGACGUGAAGAAGCUUGGCUUUAAAAAAAAAAAAAAGUGAAAACUACACUGAUCAGUCUCAUUGGAAACCACAAAAGGAAGCAGUGUACUAAUUCACUUGUAGAAUGAAGGUUUAGCUGUUGAAGAAAUUUAGGUAAUGUCAUACUCUUUGAGUGUUGCUCUUACAACAGCCAGAGAAUCCAUGGUUUGAUUUUUGGUGGGUGAAACAGCUUAGCUGUGGAUUGCAACUGUAAUAGGCAUGCAUAUCGGGACAUAUCCCUUUCUUAGGGUGGUUACUUUAGCUGAACUGUCCUGGAACAAUAGAACUUUAUGGUCUUGAUACAUAAUUGUUGCAAACUGCGCAGUAUGGUUGUUUUUAUCAGCAAAGUUGAAAAGGUGGAUAAUAACUGGUCUGGUGCUAGUGCUGCCUUCCUUUGGAGAGCCAGGACUCUCCCUCUGCUUGGAUCAGGAAUUUGGGAACAAGAAAUAGCCAAACGAAUGGCUCGCCUCCUCCCCAGUAACUGGGUGACACAGUUCUGGGAGUACAACUGAUUUUAUACUG